UACGGAGGAUGCAAGCGUUAUCCGGAUUUAUUGGGUUUAAAGGGUGCGCAGGUUGUUUGAUAAGUCAGUGGUGAAAGUCUGUCGCUUAACGGUAGGAUUGCCAUUGAUACUGUUGGACUUGAAUAUGGAUGAGGUAGGCAGAAUGUGUAGUGUAGCGGUGAAAUGCAUAGAUAUUACACAGAACACCAAUUGCGAAGGCAGCUUACUAAUCCAUCAUUGACGCUGAGGCACGAAAGCGUGGGGAUCAAACA
rnacentral:rRNA from 1 species